rnacentral:rRNA from 1 species
CGGACAGUGUCUGGUGGGUAGUUUGACUGGGGCGGUCUCCUCCUAAAGAGUAACGGAGGAGCACGAAGGUUGGCUAAUCCUGGUCGGACAUCAGGAGGUUAGUGCAAUGGCAUAAGCCAGCUUGACUGCGAGCGUGACGGCGCGAGCAGGUGCGAAAGCAGGUCAUAGUGAUCCGGUGGUUCUGAAUGGAAGGGCCAUCGCUCAACGGAUAAAAGGUACUCCGGGGAUAACAGGCUGAUACCGCCCAAGAGUUCAUAUCGACGGCGGUGUUUGGCACCUCGAUGUCGGCUCAUCACAUCCUGGGGCUGAAGUAGGUCCCAAGGGUAUGGCUGUUCGCCAUUUAAAGUGGUACGCGAGCUGGGUUUAGAACGUCGUGAGACAGUUCGGUCCCUAUCUGCCGUGGGCGCUGGAGAACUGAGGGGGGCUGCUCCUAGUACGAGAGGACCGGAGUGGACGCAUCACUGGUGUUCGGGUUGUCAUGCCAAUGGCACUGCCCGGUAGCUAAAUGCGGAAGAGAUAAGUGCUGAAAGCAUCUAAGCACGAAACUUGCCCCGAGAUGAGUUCUCCCUGACUCCCUGAGAGUCCUGAAGGAACGUUGAAGACGACGACGUUGAUAGGCCGGGUGUGUAAGCGCAGCGAUGCGUUGAGCUAACCGGUACUAA